AAGUCGUAACAAGGUUUCCGUAGGUGAACCUGCGGAAGGAUCAUUCAUAAUCAAGUGUUUUUAUGGCACUUUCAAAAAUCCAUAUCCACCUUGUGUGCAAUGUCAUCUCUCUGGGGGCUGCCGGCUGUCAAAGGCCGUGUGGUCACCUUUGGGAUUUAUAUCUACUCAGAACUUUAGUGAUUUUGUCUGAAACAUAUUAUGAAUACUUAAUUCAAAAUACAACUUUCAACAACGGAUCUCUUGGCUCUC
rnacentral:misc_RNA from 1 species